AACCCAAAUUAAUAGACACCCGGCGUAAAGCGUGUUUAAGAGAAAAAAACCAAAUAAAGAUAAAUAUUAACCAAGCUGUAAAAAGCCCCAGCUAUAAUAAAAUAAAUGACGAAAGUAUCUUUAGAAAAUCUGAACACACGACAGCUAAGACCCAAACUGGGAUUAGAUACCCCACUAUGCUUAGCCAUUAACUUAAAAAGUCUAAUAAACAAGACUACUCGCCAGAGUACUACUAGCAAAAGCUUAAAACUCAAAGGACUUGGCGGUGCUUUAUAUCCAUCUAGAGGAGCCUGUUCUAUAAUCGAUAAACCCCGAUAAACCUCACCAACCCUUGCUAAUU
rnacentral:rRNA from 1 species